CCCUUAGAUGUUCUGGGCCGCACGCGCGCUACACUGAUGCAUUCAACAAGCCUAGCCUUGACCGAGAGGUCCGGGUAAUCUUUGAAACUGCAUCGUGAUGGGGCUAGAUUAUUGCAAUUAUUAAUCUUCAACGUGGAAUGCCUAGUAAGCGUGAUUCAUCAAAUCGCGUUGAUUACGUCCCUGCCCUUUGUACACACCGCCCGUCGCUCCUACCGAUUGAAUGUGUUGGUGAGGAGCUCGGAUUGGCAGCAGUUGGUGGUUCGCCACCGGCUAUUGCUGAGAAGUCCUCCAAACCGCCCCAUUUAGAGGAAGGAGAAGUCGUAACA
rnacentral:rRNA from 1 species